GCAGGUGGUCGGGUUGAGAAUACUAAGGCGAUCGGGUGAACCGUGGUUAAGGAAUUCGGCAAAGUGACCCCGUAACUUCGGGAGAAGGGGUGCCGGAUGGGGUGAGCACCCGUGCGGUGGGAGCUCCGUUCGGCCGCAGGAAUCAGCCCGAGCGACUGUUUACUAAAAACACAGGUCCGUGCGAAGUCGUAAGACGCGGUAUACGGACUGACGCCUGCCCGGUGCCGGAACGUUACGAGGACCGGUUAGCCCCACGGGG
rnacentral:rRNA from 1 species